rnacentral:rRNA from 1 species
GCUCAGAAGAGAGCUGGCGGCAUGUUCUCACAUGCAAGUCGAGCGGCAGCGCGGGGGCAACCCUGGCGGCGAGCGGCGAAUGGGCGAGUAAUACAUCGGAACGUGUCCCGUAGUGGGGGAUAGCUCGGCGAAAGCCGGAUUAAUACCGCAUAUGCUCUACGGAGGAAAGCGGGGGAUCCGCAAGGACCUCGCGCUAUGGGAGCGGCCGAUGUCCGAUUAGCUUGUUGGCGGGGUAAAGGCCCACCAAGGCGACGAUCGGUAGCUGGUCUGAGAGGACGACCAGCCACACUGGGACUGAGACACGGCCCAGACUCCUACGGGAGGCAGCAGUGGG